UCGCUUUGAACUCGGGGAACUAGCCCCUCUUCUUGGAGAAGGAGGCCGCGCCCGCACCCAAAGGGAAUCCUCAGUUGUCCCAGCAGUGCCCACGUAAAAUAUUUUCUUCUGUCGAACUCUUGCAACGAAAUCGGAUUUUCUAUUUGGAUGGUUCUACGUCAAAGACGGUCUGCAGCGGCACCCGGCUUUGCCCGUGAUUAACGGAAAGACAUUUCCUACAAUAAGUCCCCUAGGUGAUCUCAGGUCAGAAUGACCCACCUGAGCAUCCGGACAAGAGUUCGGGGAAGAAACUUCUCCCCUCCCUGGAAGCUGAGAUAAGCGGUUAAGACGUCCAGAAAAUAGGUGAGGCCAAGCCUGUUGAGUCCCCGGGAGGCGCAGGCGCGCGGAUCCGGGAUGCUGGGAUGCUUCGGGGACUCCUCCGGAUACCUACGCCGCGCGAAACCUCCCUCGCUCCCUCACCCUAAACCAAGGUCUCGAGGAACGGGGGUUGGGGUGCGGGGAGUGUACUGCGUGUAACGGGUGUCGCGGCGCAGGGCACCAGCAGUCAGCUAUGGAAUGGACUUGACCAUGAUGUUCCCGGGCCAGCGGCUCCCUGCGAUGGGAGUCCCCGAGCUCCCCAGUCGGUAAAUAUCCGACGAUUGCCUCCUGGGAGCCACGCCCGGCAUCCACCCCCUCCCCACCCGCCACGUCCCAGUCACGGUCAAUUUCCAGGCCGCCCCCAGGGCCCCCCACUCUGUGUCCUAACCCCCGCCCUCCCGUGGGGCCAAGUUGAGGGCACCACCAGCGCUCUUCGGAGUGAGUUUUCUGGUGGGGCCCAGGCUUCGUUGGAUCGCACGCACCCCGCCCACCCAUCCCCCAACUGCUCUCCCCGGAGCGCAGCCCCGGCGUCGGCCGCGCCGAGCGAGGCGUCCCCUGGCGGCAGGAAGCCGCGCGCACUCGUCUCCCUGGUGGCUCCGGGCUGAUCCCCUCCGAGCUCCCGGUCCCCUCCGCCGCCCGACCACCCGGGCGCCCUCGCCGGCCUCUCCCACUCUUCCGUCUCCCACGGAGGUGGCUACCUUGUUCCCAGAGACUGUCCGAGAGACGCUCGCGGCUUUCCUUGACUGGCCCGGGCGCGCCCUUGGCCCAAGCCCCCUCCACGUUCCCCAGCAGCGGGCCUGGUCCUCCCUCAAUAGAAACCACUGAUGCCGGGGGUGAAGGAAAACCGUAUUCAUCUGGAUUUUCAAAAAGAAAACGUCCCCCCCUCAACAACCUCGCAUCCACCGCCCCUUGCACGGAUCCUGUGAACUGGAAAGGCAGAUAUCCCACGGCCUUCUCGCUGGUCACAUGA
rnacentral:lncRNA from 1 species